GAGUACUUCCCAGCGGGGCUCAUAGUGCUGCCAGAUUCAGUGGAUAGAAAUGCAGGAUGAGGAGUUCCCUUGUGGCUCAGUGGGUUAAGAACCCGACUAGCAUGCCAGGGAUCGAACCUGCAUCCUCGUGGAUGCUAGUCAGAUGGGUUAACUGCUGAGCCACGCCGGGAAUUCCUGGUCGGUCAAAUUUCCUCACUGCUCUUUCUUUUUCAAAGUCCUGUGUCUGCUUGGGGUGACCUCACGGUAAUUUUCCUAUGGAAGGAGGCUUCUGAGAGGAUAAGGACUCUGACACCUGUUUAGAGAGAGGGGUUCCUGAUUCUGGGGUCCGAGGAGGGCUUCCGAGGGUCUGGGGACCACCUGCAAUUGUCCAGCAAACAAUGCGUCCACGCACACGGAUAGGCAUCUAUUGUCCCCCCAGAAAGGGAGUCGCUAGUUUUCAGCAGAAGUUCAAGGGGAAACUGUAUCCCAGAGAAGAGUAGCAAAUGUUCACGGAGAAGCAGUGGAUACCCGAGGUCCCUGGCCUGGAGCUCAUGACCCCUUAGGGUCUAUGGAGACAAUUCAGGAAGCCCAGGAGCUGAGACCAGGUCAAUUUCAAUCUUUAGUUCAUAGCUAUUUCUCCACUCUAUUAAAACCAUUGCAGGUAUCUCGAAAUAUUCCUAGCACUCGUCAUUCCUCAGAAAUUACGGUGUCUCUAUCACAUCUUUCUGGACUCCACGUUGGUACUCCCCUCCUGUAAGGGAUAAAAACCCCUAUAGGACAAUGUGGGGUGGGGAGGGCUCUUCUUCCGCCUCCCAGCUGUCCUGGGAGCUGUUGCUUUCCUAUCAUAAAGACUUCGCUUGCUUAAAAAAAAAAAUCCAGAAAUCGCGGUGGUUUUAAACCAGCAACUAUGCUGUCUUUAAUGCAUUAAUAAAGAAGCUCAUAUACCCUACUGUCUCGCUUUUAAAAACUAUUUUAAGAACUGGUAUUCAGUAGCAUUGGUUAUCAUUAUCCUUCUAUGUAUUUAACCU
rnacentral:lncRNA from 1 species